rnacentral:rRNA from 1 species
UUAAGCGACUAAGCGUACACGGUGGAUGCCCUGGCAGUCAGAGGCGAUGAAGGACGUGCUAAUCUGCGAAAAGCGUCGGUAAGGUGAUAUGAACCGUUACAGCCGGCGAUGUCCGAAUGGGGAAACCCAGUGCAAUUCGUUGCACUAUCGUUAACUGAAUACAUAGGUUAACGAGGCGAACCGGGGGAACUGAAACAUCUAAGUACCCCGAGGAAAAGAAAUCAACCGAGAUUCCCCCAGUAGCGGCGAGCGAACGGGGAGCAGCCCAGAGUCUGAAUCAGCUUGUGUGUUAGUGGAACGGUCUGGAAAGUCCGACGGUACAGGGUGAUAGUCCCGUACACCAAAAUGCACAGGCUGUGAACUCGAAGAGUAGGGCGGGACACGUGGUAUCCUGUCUGAAUAUGGGGGGACCAUCCUCCAAGGCUAAAUACUCCUGACUGACCGAUAGUGAACCAGUACCGUGAGGGAAAGGCGAAAAGAACCCCGGCGAGGGGAGUGAAAAAGAACCUGAAACCGUGUACGUACAAGCAGUGGGAGCACCUUCGGGUGUGACUGCGUACCUUUUGUAUAAUGGGUCAGCGACUUAUAUUCUGUAGCAAGGUUAACCGUAUAGGGGAGCCGCAGGGAAACCGAGUCUUAACUGGGCGUUAAGUUGCAGGGUAUAGACCCGAAACCCGGUGAUCUAGCCAUGGGCAGGUUGAAGGUUGGGUAACACUAACUGGAGGACCGAACCGACUAAUGUUGAAAAAUUAGCGGAUGACUUGUGGCUGGGGGUGAAAGGCCAAUCAAACCGGGAGAUAGCUGGUUCUCCCCGAAAGCUAUUUAGGUAGCGCCUCGUGAACUCAUCUUCGGGGGUAGAGCACUGUUUCGGCUAGGGGGUCAUCCCGACUUACCAACCCGAUGCAAACUACGAAUACCGAAGAAUGUUAUCACGGGAGACACACGGCGGGUGCUAACGUCCGUCGUGAAGAGGGAAACAACCCAGACCGCCAGCUAAGGUCCCAAAGUCAUGGUUAAGUGGGAAACGAUGUGGGAAGGCACAGACAGCCAGGAUGUUGGCUUAGAAGCAGCCAUCAUUUAAAGAAAGCGUAAUAGCUCACUGGUCGAGUCGGCCUGCGCGGAAGAUGUAACGGGGCUAAACCAUGCACCGAAGCUGCGGCAGCGACACUAUGUGUUGUUGGGUAGGGGAGCGUUCUGUAAGCCUGCGAAGGUGUGCUGUGAGGCAUGCUGGAGGUAUCAGAAGUGCGAAUGCUGACAUAAGUAACGAUAAAGCGGGUGAAAAGCCCGCUCGCCGGAAGACCAAGGGUUCCUGUCCAACGUUAAUCGGGGCAGGGUGAGUCGACCCCUAAGGCGAGGCCGAAAGGCGUAGUCGAUGGGAAACAGGUUAAUAUUCCUGUACUUGGUGUUACUGCGAAGGGGGGACGGAGAAGGCUAUGUUAGCCGGGCGACGGUUGUCCCGGUUUAAGCAUGUAGGCUGAUUGUCCAGGCAAAUCCGGAUAAUCAAGGCUGAGGUGUGAUGACGAGGCACUACGGUGCUGAAGUAACAAAUGCCCUGCUUCCAGGAAAAGCCUCUAAGCAUCAGGUAACAUCAAAUCGUACCCCAAACCGACACAGGUGGUCAGGUAGAGAAUACCAAGGCGCUUGAGAGAACUCGGGUGAAGGAACUAGGCAAAAUGGUGCCGUAACUUCGGGAGAAGGCACGCUGGUGUGUAGGUGAAGUCCCUGCGGAUGGAGCUGAGACCAGUCGAAGAUACCAGCUGGCUGCAACUGUUUAUUAAAAACACAGCACUGUGCAAACACGAAAGUGGACGUAUACGGUGUGACGCCUGCCCGGUGCCGGAAGGUUAAUUGAUGGGGUUAUCCGUAAGGAGAAGCUCUUGAUCGAAGCCCCGGUAAACGGCGGCCGUAACUAUAACGGUCCUAAGGUAGCGAAAUUCCUUGUCGGGUAAGUUCCGACCUGCACGAAUGGCGUAAUGAUGGCCAGGCUGUCUCCACCCGAGACUCAGUGAAAUUGAACUCGCUGUGAAGAUGCAGUGUACCCGCGGCAAGACGGAAAGACCCCGUGAACCUUUACUAUAGCUUGACACUGAACAUUGAGCCUUGAUGUGUAGGAUAGGUGGGAGGCUUUGAAGCGUGGACGCCAGUCUGCGUGGAGCCAACCUUGAAAUACCACCCUUUAAUGUUUGAUGUUCUAACGUUGGCCCCUGACCGGGGUUGCGGACAGUGUCUGGUGGGUAGUUUGACUGGGGCGGUCUCCUCCCAAAGCGUAACGGAGGAGCACGAAGGUUAGCUAAUCCUGGUCGGACAUCAGGAGGUUAGUGCAAUGGCAUAAGCUAGCUUGACUGCGAGCGUGACGGCGCGAGCAGGUGCGAAAGCAGGUCAUAGUGAUCCGGUGGUUCUGAAUGGAAGGGCCAUCGCUCAACGGAUAAAAGGUACUCCGGGGAUAACAGGCUGAUACCGCCCAAGAGUUCAUAUCGACGGCGGUGUUUGGCACCUCGAUGUCGGCUCAUCACAUCCUGGGGCUGAAGUAGGUCCCAAGGGUAUGGCUGUUCGCCAUUUAAAGUGGUACGCGAGCUGGGUUUAGAACGUCGUGAGACAGUUCGGUCCCUAUCUGCCGUGGGCGCUGGAGAAUUGAGGGGGGCUGCUCCUAGUACGAGAGGACCGGAGUGGACGCAUCACUGGUGUUCGGGUUGUCAUGCCAAUGGCACUGCCCGGUAGCUAAAUGCGGAAGAGAUAAGUGCUGAAAGCAUCUAAGCACGAAACUUGCCCCGAGAUGAGUUCUCCCUGAGACUUUAAGUCUCCUGAAGGAACGUUAAAGACGAUGACGUUGAUAGGCCGGGUGUGUAAGCGCAGCGAUGCGUUGAGCUAACCGGUACUAAUGAACCGUGAGGCUUAACCUU